CGUCAUCCUUGAAUUCCUAUUGGUGGAUGGGCGAAGAUGAAUCGCGAGAGGAGUCGAGGCAAGUGACAGUUAAUUUUUCAAACUGAGGAGUCCGCCAUUUCUGCUCGUUCAUACACUAAGAUAACCAUGGUUGAUAAAUGGUCAGUAGAUGACACGUGCCACUGGCUUGAAACUAUAAACCUCAUUGAUGCAAAAUAAAGUUUCAGAGAUUCUGCAUGAAAUGACAAUGAGGUUUGAACCGACUUGGCGAAGAACAUGGAAACAUUUCAGAAUGGAAUGGCCCCAAACAUCAUCAGGAGUGCAAAAGAAGGAAGUCAAAAAAAAAACAAAAAAACUACGCCAAUCUCAUUGGACUAGCAGAGGAAACCACAGAAGGUCUCGUUAGGAAUGCUGCACUCAUUUUAUUGCCAGCACUAUUUAAAGAAAACGCCAGCUUCCUCUACUGUGUAGAUAGUGAACCCAAAGGUGCUACACCAACCAUAGUGUUUAACGGCUCUCCUGAUCCCCUCAAGGCUGAAAGUGUCAGCAUAAUAAUGGACAAUGUGAACAUCAUAAGAGAGGCAGACAUUGACAUGACACAGGCUGUGGAAUGCCUAUUUGCAGUCUAUUUUCUCUUCAAUGUGCAGUACCCGGUUGACAUUAAGCACACAAUGACUUUUAUUUAAAAAUAUAUGCUUAACCUUAGACAACAGCACGGCAAAAGAACACCAAUACCUGUACUGAAAAUGUAUAGUCAACUUGUGUAAAUUGUAGAGCUAUUUAAUAGUUGUUUUAACUGUUCAUGUAUUGAUUUUUAUCUGCACUGUUAAAUAUAAAAAAUGAUUUGUUUUUCCUCAUUUCAGAGAUAUAUGUAAAAGUGAAGUACUGUAUAUGUACGUAAACAAGCUUAUGUAUGUUUAUUAAAGUGAAAAUGCUUAAAUGAAAUAAUUCAAACUAAAUGGUUAAAUGUAAUUAAACAUCUUAAAUGUGAAAUUUGCUGUCUAACACAGAGUAUACAGAGGUGUAAUUUUAAAUGACACUAAAUUUUUUGUAUAAACAGUUGAAUAAAUUGAAACAUUUUAAA